rnacentral:rRNA from 1 species
CGCUAAUACCUCAUAAUGCAGCGGAUCCGCAUGGAUAUGUUGUUAAAGGUUUACCGCCUUGGGAUAGGCUUGCGUCUGAUUAGUUAGUUGGUGUGGUAACGGCACACCAAGGCUACGAUCAGUAACUGGUCUGAGAGGAUGAUCAGUCACACUGGAACUGAGACACGGUCCAGACUCCUACGGGAGGCAGCAGUGAGGAAUAUUGGGCAAUGCUCGAAAGAGUGACCCAGCAACGCCGCGUGGAGGAUGAAGGUAUUCUAUAUCGUAAACUCCUGUGAGAGCAGACGAAAGACAGAUUAUUAAUCUGGAUGACUGUAUGCUCAGAGGAAGCCCCGGCUAACUACGUG